rnacentral:rRNA from 1 species
AUUGAACGCUGGCGGCAGGCUUAACACAUGCAAGUCGAGCGAGUGGCGGACGGGUGAGUAAUGUCUGGGAAACUGCCUGAUGGAGGGGGAUCACUACUGGAAACGGUAGCUAAUCCCGCAUACCAUCAGAUGUGCCCAGCUGGGAUUAGCUGGUAGGUGGGGUAACGGCGCACCUAGGCGACGCUCCCUAGCUGGUCUGAGUGGAUGACCAGCCACACGGGAACUGAGACACGGUCCAGACUCCUACGGGAGGCAGCAGUGGGGAAUAUUGCACAAUGGGCGCAAGCCUGAUGCAGCCAUGCCGCGUGUGUGAAGAAGGCCUUCGGGUUGUAAAGCACUUUCAGCGGGGAGGCGUUACCCGCAGAAGAAGCACCGGCUAACUCCGUGCCAGCAGCCGCGGUAGUUC